CGUUUUCGGGGCAGGGUGAAAUUCCCGACCGGCGGUACAGUCCGCGAGCUGUCCUUGUACAUAUUCCUACGGAAAAAGCGCAGGUCAGUUGAUUUGGUGAGAUUCCAAAACCGACAGUAAAGUCUGGAUGAGAGAAGACG
rnacentral:ncRNA from 1 species